CCCCGCCUCUCCCCCGCAGUGCGGGCGGGCCCAGCACACAGAGAAUGCAGGCGGCGUAGACCAAGUGGCCGCGACCCGCGGGGGGAGUGGACGGGGACCCAGACUGAGAGUGGCCGAGCUGAGAGAUCCCGGGCCAAGGAGCCGGGGUCUGAGUCAAGCGGACAGCUCGCGGAGGAUUUGUCGCCUUUCAGCGUGGGGCAGCGGUGGAGGAACCCGCUGCGGGAAAAGGACCGCUCUCCUUCCGCAGCCCAAGAGAAGGUCUGAGCGACGGCUCUGGAGGGCAUGGGAGCAGAGGGCAAGGCUGGAGAGUUGGAGAUGGAACAGAAGAGGAA
ensembl:lncRNA